rnacentral:rRNA from 1 species
CCUACGGGGGGCAGCAGUGAGGAAUAUUGGUCAAUGGACGAGAGCCUGAACCAGCCAAGUAGCGUGAAGGAUGACUGCCCUAUGGGUUGUAAACUUCUUUUAUAAAGGAAUAAAACGAGGUAUGUAUGCCUUUUUGCAUGUACUUUAUGAAUAAGGAUCGGCUAACUCCGUGCCAGCAGCCGCGGUAAUACGGAGGAUCCGAGCGUUAUCCGGAUUUAUUGGGUUUAAAGGGAGCGUAGACGGGUUGUUAAGUCAGUUGUGAAAGUUUGCGGCUCAACCGUAAAAUUGCAGUUGAUACUGGCAUUCUUGAGUACAGUAGAGGUAGGCGGAAUUCGUGGUGUAGCGGUGAAAUGCUUAGAUAUCACGAAGAACCCCGAUUGCGAAGGCAGCUUACUAGACUGUGACUGACACUGAUGCUCGAAAGUGUGGGUAUCAAACAGGAUUAGAUACCCUAGUAGUC